rnacentral:lncRNA from 1 species
UGUCGCAUAAUCUAAAAAGCCUUAUAAUAUAGGACGGAGGGAGUAGUAUGGAGUAGGCAACAGAAUGUUGAUUAGAAGUGGCGAGUGGACGAGACGAGCCACUGACCGUGUUCUGUUUGUUCCAGGAUCGAUAACCGCACUCCUUACAACAUGCCAAUGCCAAAGUGCCAAAUGCAUUCGGAGGUAAUACUAAUAAGGGCAGAAGUUAGCUUAAUUUCUAUCAUGCAGCUCCGGAAUACUAAAGUACACUGCUGGGGGUUAACCAUACAAUGUUUUGACAAAAAUCAGUCCCUGUAAUUAAAUUCCAUGAGUGUAAACAUGUGGGUUCAUGCAAUUUCCAAAAACUAAUACUGAUGCGUCAUGCCUUUCGAUUUCCUGCAGUUAAAUCAAAUGGUUGAAAUCAUUGUUAGUACGUAAGAGAAUUUAGUAAGUGUAGCAGUGCUCAUGAACUAUAAAGGGCAUGGUCGAACAUUCGAACAUCAACACUAAGUCUAACUGAAAAACAGUAAUGUCUUAUACUGAACACACCUGGUUACCGAAGUUCAAUGUCUUUUUUUCAACCAUAGUGGUCGCAUCUCGCAUGUCUUCACACGAAGUUGCACUGUUUCAUUUUUCUUGUCAGAAGCUCCAGCAGAUCUGCAGACUUUCAGAUGGAGUAUAUUGUGAAUACCAAUAAGAAAGUGUUCAAGGGUGGCACAACAUCAACAUUGUAUUUCAAAGUUUGGUCUCAAUCCCUGCACUAUAAAUUUGUUGGUUUCGGUAGCUUAGUACUACAGUAGAGGAUAUUCAGGCAAGAGUGCAACUAUUACUGUCAGAUUUUUCCUGCUAUACCAAUAUGAAACAUUGCAUCGUGUCUGUUUCAAAAAAAAAUUACUGGCAGAUUUUGACAGGAACAAUUCAGAUGUAUGCUGGAUCCCAAGACCCAAAAUAGUUCUCUCACCUCCCUAUUAUUAGUCUAUAUCCUACAGGAUAUACAAGCAUCUCUUUGGACAAUAAUUGGAUAGCUUCCAUGUGGGAUGCCAAACACCACAGCAUAUAUCAUGAAAAGUAGAGUCAUGGACAUAUAUAACGGGAAAGUAAAUUCAUCCCUCGAGGGGAUAUCCCCUCGUUUCAUGCAUGUCACCUAAAUAGUCAUCAAAAAAUAUGAAAAAAAAUUUUGGCAACAUAGAUUAAUAUGAAAUAUAUCACUCCACAAACAUGCAACUUUAAAUUUAACUUCUACAAAUUGUAACAAAAACAACAAAUAUAGCUGCGAAUGUGCGAUAACUAUUUUCACUUUAAUUUGUUAUUUUUGUUGCAACUUAUAGAAGUUGAAUUUGGUCUUGCAUGUUUGUGGAGUGAUAUAAUUCGUAUUAAUCUAUGUUGUCAUUUUUUCUUUCAAUUUUUUUUAUAACUAUUUAGAUGACAUGCAAACAAAGAGGGAAUGUCCCCUCAAGGGAUGAAAAUCCACAUCCAUAUAUAACAUGACCUAAACCUCCAUUUGCACAUAAAUGGAUGACAACAGUAGAGGGUAGCAGACUAGGUAACCUCUUUAUGACAAUAAUUUUAUCCCAAGGCAUUCUCGUUUUCCUUGUGCUAUACAAUGAUGAUUUCAAUUGUAGGAAAAGCAUGCAGUUUAUAAUUGGUUCAAUGUAUAUGACUUAUGACUGUUAUGAAUCUGUUUAUGUGUACAGAAUAUUGCAAUGCAACUAUCUUUAAGUGUUAGCACACACAUCUUAAAUAAAUCUCAGUUCUGAAACUAAUCAACAACUGCCAAAGAUUCUGAAAAUAUAUACGUUACAUAACAGACAGCAUGUCUGACGCAUUGUUGAAGUGGAGGGAAAAUUAAUGGCAUGAUCGUUAGUCAAUCAAUAGCAAUAGCUGGUAUACUCACUGAUUUAGUGAAAGAGAAGCUUUGCCACAAUUUCGAGUCUAGGAAUCGAUGAUUCUUUUAAAAGGAUUCUUUUCAAGAAUUACAUUGUCCCAAAACAGAAAAACUGCCACCAAAUUAACCUCACAUUGGCAGACAAAGUCCAGCAGCAAAAAAAUUUAGGAACAUCAUCUUGUAGCAUACAAAGAGACAAAAAUGAAAAUAUAAAUUUUAACUUGCACCAAUUGUCAAUUCUUCAGAGAUUGCAGUUAAGAAUUCAAGUAGGCAAAGAAUGAAAACAACUGAUAGUAUUGAUGCAAUAAUGAUCCUACACUAUCAUCCACAUGACCGUUUUUUGAAUGAGAUAUAUAUAGCGAUGUAUGGAUAGCACUGCUGCACAGCUCAAUUCUAAAGGGCUAAGCCAAAGGUGGCCUGUGUUCAAGUUGGUCCAACUUUAGAUGAUUAGUUAGAGUCAUAACAGCUCUGAUACUUAAACUUUAUGGCCUUCGAACAAAAGCAGGUUCUCUUUAGAAAUUUGGCAACAUUCUCUUCGCCACCAAAAAGAGAGAGAUAGAUAGGAGGAAACGUACCUCAUCUUCCUAACAACGUUGGCCAUCUCCUCACGCUUCGUCUUAGCUCUCUAGCUAGUGUGCUUUUUGCUACCUUCAGCGCACGACUGCACGUUUUUCUUUCUUUUCUGGCUUUCAGAAGCGCGGUGAUAUGUUUCUCAUGUGGUGCUAACCCGGCUACUUGCCUAGGCAAGUAGGAACAAAAAGGACCCUCUUGUUAGUUUUCUGAAACAAAAUUCAAUAUUACACUCAUAAUGCAACUGUAUCUUUUCAUAUGGAAAAUGAAAGCUCGUUGCUUUCAUUAAUGCUGUUCAAAAAAUUACAAGAUAACAAUAUAGAUUAAGAAAAUCCAAUAACUUCUUUAAUGAACAGCAUAAGUACACUGCGGGAAAGCCACUCAAUCAUGCAUGCAUCAUGUUUAUUACACAUGGCAACAGUGUAACAUAUGCAAAACAAAAAGAAAAAGAAAAGAGGAUAAGCUUCUAAGACAAGUGACUCGCCACCAAUUUUAUACUGAAAAGCUGAGGACUGGAAAUAAGACACAAAAUAAAUGAGCUAAACCUAACAGUAGAAUUCCCUUAGGGCACUUGGUUCAGCGUUUCUUACUUAAACGCUUUAGCAAAUUUUGGUUUUAAAAAUUUGAUCAUUGAAUCAACUAAUUUUCAUCCUGGAGAUCAAGAUCUCAACAACAUAUAUGCAAAAUAAAAUACUCCUUUUUUGCAAGUGUGUAAAUAAAUUUCAAGGACAUGGUUAAUCAUAGCACCUGCAAGUCACCACAAGUAUAGCUAAAGGUAUAGAAAGCACUGAAGCCAGCAUACCAUGUUCUCAUACAUGCAGCAGUAGAUCAACAGAUAGUCACAUAGUCAUUGGAAUUUCCACAGACAAUAUGUGCUUCACACGGCACAUCCAAGUUCAUCAAGUAAGAACCAUCAAGGGAAAAACUAUCUUCAGGGAUCGUGCAAUCCUAGUAUACAAUUAUACACAAAUAUACUUCAGAAAGCAAAGCGGUAUCUAGAUUGUUAACUGAUUCAGCAUCGUGGCUAAUGUGACCAAAAGAUAACGCGGCGAUCAAGCACAAUCGCAGAAGUACAGUGACAUCUUCGGAUUCUGAAAAUGUCUCUAUCUGAUCAAGCACAGCCGCAUCACAAUCGUACUAGUAUGAUUUGCUAGCAUUUCAAAGACUUACGGUACUAAUUAACACUGCAGUCGAGCUCGAGCAUAGCAAUUUCAAUUUUCAACACAAGAAAUAAACAAUCAGGUUGGCGGCGGGCAACCUUACUCAUUUACAGAUCCCAAUAGUCAUAGCCAUUAAGCCGUAGCCGAUGGAUCUCAGACCAACAAACAGCGCCGCCCUUCGCCGGCGGCGGCGCCAUCUUACCGUCCCUGCACAAACAAAAGCUUCCCAUCGAAUCCCGUAGGCGCAAAAGUUGAACACACGAACUCACCAGAAGCAAGUCGUCAUCGUGGGGAGUACCUGUGAGCUUACGCCGACGGAGUGUGAGAACGGCGAUGGCGACGGCGGCGGCGGCGGCGCUAGGGUUUAGGCGGCGGAGAGGGGUUGCUGCUAAGUAGGAGUGGCGGCCCGGGGGCACAGAAGGGCUAUGGCCCAUAGUUUUAUGGGUCAAAGGGAAC